AAAAGGCUUCGCGACGCCGGCGAUAAAUCAGUUUGAUUCCGCCACUCGAAGCGCGCAGCCAUGCAGCAAAGACGAGUUUUCUUCCUCUUCGCGCUGCUUUUGUGCCUUCAACUUUUCAAAGAGUCGCAGGCCAGAAAAUGCCUCAGCUCGAAGGAACAGACGGGCGAUUUGUGCUCUUCCAAUAUGGAGUUUCUCAAGACAGAAAUCGAGAAAGCAACCCAAGAAUACAAAAACGCUCUAGAGCAUAAAGUGGACGAAAUCGCCAGGAUUUUGAGGCACAUGAGCAGCGAAAAUGUUGGCAGAAAUGAAGUCAUGGGGGUAAAUAUAAUUUUAAUGUUUAU